rnacentral:rRNA from 1 species
UACAGAGGGGGCGAGCGUUGUUCGGAAUUACUGGGCGUAAAGGGCGCGUAGGCGGCCUUCUAAGUCGAACGUGAAAUCCCCCGGGCCCAACCCGGGAACUGCGUCCGAUACUGGGAGGCUUGAAUCCGGGAGAGGGAUGUGGAAUUCCAGGUGUAGCGGUGAAAUGCGUAGAUAUCUGGAGGAACACCGGUGGCGAAGGCGGCAUCCUGGACCGGUAUUGACGCUGAGGCGCGAAAGCCAGGGGAGCAAACGGG